CCCCUAGAUGUUCUGGGCCGCACGCGCGCUACACUGAACAGUUCAACAAGUCUUAACCUUGGCCGAUAGGUCUGGGUAAUCUUUGAACGCUGUUCGUGAUUGGGAUAGACCUUUGCAAUUAUGGGUCUUCAACGAGGAAUUCCUAGUAAACACAAGUCAUCAGCUUGCAUUGAUUACGUCCCUGCCCUUUGUACACACCGCCCGUCGCACCUACCGAUUGAAUGGUCCGGUGAAAUCUCGGGACGGCGGCUUGGUCGCUUGCGUCCGACUGCUGAAACUUGAUUAAACCAUAUCAUUUAGAGGAAGGUGAANUCGUANCA
rnacentral:rRNA from 1 species